rnacentral:rRNA from 1 species
ACGAACGCUGGCGGCGUGCUUCACACAUGCCAGUCGCACGCUGAAGCUCAGCUUUUGUUGGGUGGAUGAGUGGCGAACGGGUGAGUAACCCGUGAGUAACCUGCCUCCUUCUUUGGGAUAACGCCCGGAAACGGGUGCUAAUACUGGAUAUUCACUGGUCUUCGCAUGGGGGUUGGUGGAAAGGGUUUUUCUGGUGGGGGAUGGGCUCGCGGCCUAUCAGCUUGUUGGUGGGGUGAUGGCCUACCAAGGCUUUGACGGGUAGCCGGCCUGAGAGGGUGACCGGUCACAUUGGGACUGAGAUACGGCCCAGACUCCUACGGGAGGCAGCAGUGGGGAAUAUUGCACAAUGGGCGCAAGCCUGAUGCAGCGACGCCGCGUGAGGGAUGGAGGCCUUCGGGUUGUGAACCUCUUUCGCUCAUGGUCAAGCCGCAACAAUGGUUGUGGUGAGGGUAGUGGGUAAAGAAGCGCCGGCUAACUACGUG